GUCCGCUUAAUGGAGGUGUCCGUUUAAAAGAGGUUCUCGUCACCAGACGUCUCCCGACUUUGAUCUAGCUCAAACCUGGAAGAUGUGGAAACAGAUAGUGUGGAUGAUGAUGAUCCUUAUGGUGAUUGUUUUGAUGUUGAAAUGGAAACAAGUACUGAUGACACAGAAGAUGAUGAAAAUCUUGUUAGUAAUAGUGAGAAUGUUCAUGAUGAUGAUGAAUACUCAGAACCAACAUAAGAUCUAUAUUAAAUAGAAACGUUGUUCUGGCUUCACUCUAAUUAGUAUUUGGUGUUUCGAGCAGUGGAUUGUACAGCAAUAUAUAAAUUGUUUGUUUUUAGAGCUAACACUUCUGACAAUAAAAGUGUCAACA